rnacentral:rRNA from 1 species
UGAAUACGAGAUGCUACGGCGUCGAAGCAGUGUAUGUCAUACUUCCAAGAAAAGCUCGCUAUGUCAUAAACAAUUAAUGCCUGUACCAUAACCGACACAGGUGGGUAGGUAGAGUAUACUAAGGGGCGCGAGAUAACUCUCUCUAAGGAACUCGGCAAAAUGACUCCGUAACUUCGGGAGAAGGAGUACCUUAUUUAUAAGGUUGCAAUAACAAGAUCCAAGCAACUGUUUACCAAAAACACAGGUCUCCGCUAAGUCGUAAGACGAUGUAUGGGGGCUGACGCCUGCCCAGUGCCAGAAGGUUAAAGAAGUUGGUUAGCAUUCGCGAAGCUGAUGACUGAAGCCCUGGUGAACGGCGGCCGUAACGAUAACGGUCCUAAGGUAGCGAAAUUCCUUGUCGGGUAAGUUCCGACCCGCACGAAAGGCGUAAUGAUUUGGAUACUGUCUCGGAGAGGGGCUCGGUGAAAUAGACUUGUCUGUGAAGAUGCGGACUACCUGCACCAGGACAGAAAGACCCUAUGAAGCUUUACUGUAACUUGAGAUUGAAAUUGGACUUUAUUUGUGCAGUAUAGGUGGGAGGCGUUGAAGUAAUUCUUGCGGGAAUUUUGGAGCCAUCAGUGAGAUACCACCCCUAUAAUGUUAGAUUUCUAACUUUGUAUCAUUAUCUGGUCAAAGAACAGUUUCAGGCGGGCAGUUUGACUGGGGCGGUCGCCUCCCAAAUGGUAACGGAGGCGUACAAAGGUUUCCUCUGAACGGGUAGAAAUCGUAUCUAGAGUAUAAAGGCAUAAGGAAGCUUGACUGUGAGACCUACAAGUCGAGCAGGGACGAAAGUCGGUCUUAGUGAUCUGACGGUGCUGAGUAGAAAGGCCGCCACUCAACGGAUAAAAGUUACUCUAGGAUAAUAGGCUGAUCUCCCCCAAGAGUUCACAUCGACGGGGAGGUUUGGCACCUCGAUGUCGGCUCAUCGCAUCCUGGGGCGGUAGUACGUCCCAAGGGUUGGGCUGUUCGCCCAUGAAAGCGGUACGCGAGCUGGGUUCAGAACGUCGUGAGACAGUUCGGUCCAUAUCCGGUGUAGGCGUUAGAAUAUUGAGAGGAGCCUUCUUUAGUACGAGAGGACCGAGAAGGACAUACCUCUGGUGUACCAGUUAUCGUGCCAACGGUAAACGCUGGGUAGCUAUGUAUGGAGUGGAUAACCGCUGAAAGCAUCUAAGUGGGAAGCCCACCUCAAGAUAAGUAUUCUCAC